UCCCCAUAACACACGAUGUACUCAUUACAUCGUAAGUUGAAUGGCAUCUACGCUAAUAUUUGUCUGUUUCUUUCCUAUUCUGUUUCUCAGUCCGUAUCCGAUCAGAUGGUGGAUCAGCACCAAGAGAUGAUGUCUACAGCCCUGAUCGUCAGCGGAGACCAGGACACCCAGAUGACCCCCAGAGAUAUAUCCUCAGAUAUAUCAACCAAAAAUAACAAAAUAACUAAAAUAUAAUAAAAUACCUAACUACAUAAUACUACUAUUGUUAGAAAUUGCAACAAAAUUAAAAUGGAAAUAUAAACUUUUGAACUGCGGGUUUCGUCUGGUCAGAGGAGAACUGACCCCCGACUGAGCCUGGUUUCUCCCAAGGUUUUUGUUUUCUCCAUUCUGUCACAGAGGGAGUUUUGGUUCCUUGCCGCUGUCGCCUCUGGCUUGCUCAGUUGGGGACACUUAAUUUCUAGCGAUUAUCGCCGAUUUGAUUGCACAGAUACUAUUUAAACUAAACUGAGCUAGACAAUGACAUCUCUGAAUUCAAUAAUGAAAUGCCUUUAACUGAAAAUUGAAAAUUGAGUGUUUAAUCUUAUCAUUAUACAUUACUGACACUCUAUCCUCCAAUUUGAUACUGUUAAGUGCUUUGACACAAUCUGUAUUGUAAAAGCGCUAUAUAAAUAAAGGUGACUUGACUUGACUUGACUUAGUUUUGUGUUAUGUUGUAUUGAUCUGCUCAGAUAUAUUCAGUUUUAUGAUGUAUGCUGUAUUUAUGUACGGUUAAUUAAUAAUAUUACAGAUAUCUAGUCUAUUAUAUUCUACUGUAUAUUUUAUGAGUAUUUCGAUUUUCCAAGGUCAGUCAUAAACCUUACCGCCAUUUUAAACUUAUUCACAUAAUACAAAAUUUGUCCAAUUUUCAACAAGCCAGAAUGAUUUUGAAAAAUGCUGUAAAAAAUGCUAAUUUUCAUUCAUACUAAUGAAAAGUUAUAAAGCUGUAAAUAUUGGUGAAUCUCCUCAUAUAAAAUGAUCGUUAUUAAAAACCAGAAUGCAACAAGCAAACGACCUACGCAUGCAAAUGAUAUUGUUGCGUUUGGCCACAUAAUUGCUGCUUACAGCUUUAUCACAUGGUGGAAAUUGUUCAUUAGCUUGAGUUCAUUAUAUUUGUCACUAUUUGAAUAUCUAAACGCUUGUUGCUCUCCUGUUUUCAGGAUGAAAGCCGCGGUUUUCCUUUUGCUUCUAAUCACGCUCAGCCAUGGACUGAAUAACGUCACUUUCAGCAACGAUCAACUGGAGAUGUUUGCAGACAUUUUUUUGAACUGGGCACAUUCCUGUCAGAGAUCUCUGAAUAACAACGCCUAUAAACAGUUUAAAAGCAGACACGUUCUCUUGUGUGAUUUUGACACCAUACGGACAAGCGUUUGGGUAGAUUAUUCAACAACAAUGGAUCUUUGUGGCAGAACACCUUUACAGUCCUUCCUCCGUAAAAACGACAAUGGUAGCAUUAUAAGAAUCUGCAAUGGACGAGGCGUCAGACACAGACAAAACUUGUGUAUCAGUAAGGGAAGGUUCACAGUGUACACUGUUGAAAGCGCUUUGAGAAAUGGUUGAUGUGAAGUUCAGUUUCAGACUAAGCACUCUUAUGUGAUUGUUGCUUGCGAGGUCAUUGGAAACCGUUGUUUGCCUGUUCACUAUGAGAGACAAACUAACACUAAACCACCCCGAGACAGUCAGACCUGCAGACCUCGCUGGAGGUCACACCAAGUAGAACUUAUUAACCAUCAAUUAAAAUGUUGCUAUGCCACAUGCAUGUUUAAACUGGAUACAAUUCCAGAAGCUUCUCAAUAAAAGCUUUCUUUGCAGAGCACAGUUUGGCUUGAUGAUCAAAUGUGCAGCUUGAAUGCAAUGUAAGUCGCUUUAAAUGCCAAAUUCAUUAAUGUAUGUGGUCUUUCGUAAAAUCAUUUUGAUUCGAGACAGUCCUGGUGAGUAGGGUAAACAAUUGACUUAGUAUCGCGAUACACACCAUUGGCGAAAUCAAAAUUUGUUAACAGUACAGAAGCAGAGAAAUGUUGGAGGGGGUGUGAGAAGGUAGGAGAUUACACACAUAUAUUUUGGGACUGUCUUAAAAGAUAUACAUUUUGGCAAGCGGUAAAGGUUGAGAUUAUGAAAAUUCUGCAUAUAGUCUUGCCUUUUACUCCCCUGUUUUUCUUGCUUGAAGGGAUACCCCAGGAUUUGUGUAGUAAAAACCAGAGAUAUAUUCUGCAUAUACUCCUAUUAUAAGUGCAAGAAAAACCAUUACAAUUAACUAUGAAGACACAGCCUCCAAAAAAUGGCCCAGUGGUUAGAAAAAAUUAAUCUAUUAAUAGAAGGGAAUACAUGACUGCCCAACGCCAACUGAAACUGGACAUUUUUAUACAGAGGUGGACACCUGUUACUAUGUAUCUGGAUGCAUUGAAAAUGCAUUGAUUUAAAUUAAAAACCUUGAUUUAUUCCCUGUUGUAUAAUUUAACUCACAAUGAUGUAUUCUUGUGUUUUCUUCCUACUCUUUUUUUUUUUUUUUUAACAUUAUUUGUCUUUUUCUUUGAGUCACUGAUGUUGUCAAGGAAUGUUUAGUUCAUUGUUUGUAAUUUGCUUUAAUGUAUAAAAAAUAAAGUCAAAAAUAAAUAAAAAUCACAAUACUCCCAUGUUGAUUGAUUACAUUAAGUAUUGCAAACAUUUUAUUUAUUAUGCGAGUUUUAAAAUGUCUGAAAAUUGCAUCAAAUGCUGCGGGAUCAUUUCUCUUCACUAUCACUUUUCUUCAUCAUGUUUGAAGUUAUGUUUUAGUUUUUAGUUCUCCUCAAGUCCAUGUUUGUAAAGACAUGCCACUUUGUUUUAUUCUCUUUUUUAUUGUACUACUAUGUGAAUUUCCCAAGGGCAGAAACUCAUGCAAAAAUCACACUGCAUUUUGCUUACUGGCAAAAAACUUGUUAAAAAUAAAAUGAAAUAUAAAAAAAAUGGAUGUAUUUUCACACCUGCCUCUUUUCCAACCAAGAAAUAUCAGUCAAGUGAGCGUCUCAGACACUUUCUGAUCUUCAGCUCAGACUCGACCAGACUCUUUCUUUUGCACAAACUCAUGAUCAACAAAAAGCACAAAAUAUCCAACCAUUACUGAGAGGAAAGAUCCACAUACAAGGACUGCCGUGUAGUUCUCAGACACUAAACAGGAUGAGAUUGGUGUUUCUCCUCGCGCUUCUCAUCACUCUGGUGUUCAGCGAUGGAUCGAAUGAAGUCAUUUCCAGCCACGAUCAGCCUGAGAUGCUUUCUAACUGGCCAGCUCCCUGUCAGAGAAUCUCAGACCUAAACGCAUAUGGCAUUUUCAUUCGCAAAUACAUUAUCCAGCAUCAUUUCGACGUGACGCAGCCGCGCGCUUGGGCUGAUUAUCUAACGAGAGCACGCCUCUGUGGAACACAGCCGCACCACUCUUUCCUGCAUAAAAACGACAUCAAUGCCAUCGUACAAAUCUGCAGAGGAGAAAGCCUCAGAGACGCAGAUAACUUGUGUGUCAGCAUGAGGAAGUUCAGAGUGUUUGUGGUUCAAAGCGUGAUGAGAAACGGACGGUGUGAUGUUCAGCUUCAGAUCGAACACGCUCACGUGGUCGUCGCUUGCGAGUCCAUUCAUAGAAUCCAUUGUGUUCCUGUUCACUUUGAAGGAAUAGCUUACACUGUACCAUCCAGACAUGGUCAGCGGUGCAGAUAGACAGCGAUUCCUGAACAACUAAUUAGUUCUACUUCAUAUCAGCAUUAUCCGAAAUGUUUUUAUGCUUCACUUCUAUUGCCUUCUACAGCUGCUUUUAUUCUUUUGAGGAAGUUUGCCAUUAAUUUAAAAAAAAAAAUGUUUUUAUUAUUAUUGUUUAAUUUACAACAGAAUAAAUAUAAUAAUAAUUGUGCAUUGUUACAAUUUUAUUCUGCUUACUAAAAAGUGGUCUGUAAUUAGAUCAAACUGUUAUUAUACUUUACAUUUACAUAAAAAGGAUACAAUGCAUUUUUAAUGUAUCUUUUUUACUUUUUGUUUUUGAAACAAGUCCAUUGUGCUCACCAAGGCUGGGUUUAUUUGAUCAAAAAUACAAUAAAAAUAAUACAAUAGUAUUAUUGAUUAGUAUUUAAGUCCUGUGUGUCCCUUAUUCUGGGUUCUGGUAUUGUACGUCUACUCCUCAUCCUGUGUGUGUGUGUGUGUUCUCUCCUGGAUUUGCAAGAAUAAAGACUGUUUAUGUUAAUUCCCUUUGUCUCAGCGCUCCUUUGUCUCCUACACAGUAGGCAGAGCGUGACAAAUAUGCUGAUUUGCUCCUUAAUUAUUGCUGCUUAACUUUAAUAUAGCAUAAAUAUAAUAUAUUUAAAAACAAGUGAUAUAGUACCCUUCAAAAGUUUGGUAAGAUUGAUUUAUUUUUAUUUUUUAAAUAAGAAAUUAAUAAUUUUAUUCCGCAAGGACGCAAUAAAUUGACAAGUGACAUUAAAUGACACAAACGAUUUCUAUAGCAAAAUAUUUGCUUAAAGAUUUUGAAUAGUCACAAAAGGAACAUUAUAUUUAGGGCACUUAAAAAAAAAAAAAAAAAAACUUAAUUUAAAAUGUUCAUUGGUGAAUCUGUCAGAAUGAGAGAAUCAGUUCCAAAAGUCAUCCAUUUUUAUAAACUUUCUAGAAGGUACCCUGAAAUCUGUGUUAGCUGGUUUGUCAUUUAUUGCUUUUUUCAGUUAGGAUGUUUUUGCAAGUGUAAUUAAGAGAACAAAACAUUUUUCAAGCUAUUUUGUAUGCUGUUAAAGCUCUUUUUAUAUCAUUUAAAAAGUGUUGUUGUUUUCUUCUUUAAAAACCAGAGUUGUGUUAUUUGUGCUGUCUUACUGUCAGUCAGUGUGUGUGUGUGCGUGUGUGUGUGUGUGUGUGUGUGUGUGAGAGUGUGUGAGAGCGUGUGAGAGUG